rnacentral:rRNA from 1 species
UACGGAGGGUGCAAGCGUUAAUCGGAAUUACUGGGCGUAAAGCGUGCGCAGGCGGUUUGUUAAGUCCGUUGUGAAAGCCCCGAGCUCAACUUGGGAAUUGCAGUGGGUACGGGCAGACUAGAGUGCGGUAGGGGAGAUUGGAAUUCCUGGUGUAGCGGUGGAAUGCGCAGAUAUCGGGAGGAACACCGGUGGCGAAGGCGGUUCUCUGGGCCUGUACUGACGCUGAGGAGCGAAAGCGUGGGGAGCGAACAGG